CUCUUAUUUCUAACCAUUCUUCUUGCUUUUAGCAUCCCAAAACACAAAUACAUUGUGUUCCUUCUCUUUCCCCCUCUUCUCUCUAGAUAUAAUUUUCUCUCUAUGUUUUGCUCACUUUAGGGUUUUCUCUACUCUUCAAUUUUGGGGCUUAAACUCUGGAGUUUGGAAUACUCAAACCAAGAGCAGUUUUAGGCGAUAGCCUAGAAACGUUCCCUCUCAGAGAAUCGCAACCUAGAAAAGUGCCUCGCUGAUGUCGCCAUGAGGAACAUGUUCCUCCUCUAAGGUGGAGACUGUACCUAAAGCUUCAAGAAGUUUAAUUCCAACAACAUUCGUUAUGUUCGGGAGUCAGAUGCCCGUUAUUAAGGUGGGACGAAUGGCGGGUCAGUCCACAAAACUGAGAACAGAGUAGUUGGAAGAGAGGAAUGGGUCAAACUCCCUAUUACAAAAGGCUUUAAUUCAAAGGAGUUUUGAUCAUCAUCAAAAAGGGAGAUUGUUAGCAUAAAGAUGAAGCUUAGAAGUUUUGAUGAUGUCUCAAAGUCAAAUCUCAAGUGUUCAAGUUGCAAGAUGACCUUCAUGAAGACUUGUUUUAUAUUAAAACUUUUGUAAUUCAGUAGUUUUAUGUAUAGGGUAUUAUUUAUCCUUGAUUACAUAUAUUGUGUGUUUAAAAGUUUUCUACAAACUCAUUUUGCCUUGGAAUAAUAGAUUACCAACUUAUGAUAAUCGAUUAUCCAUAAUUGAUUGACUUACCAUAAUCGAUUUUCACAUGCAACUAUGAGAGUUUUCAAGCAUGU